UUGAACGCUGGCGGCAUGCCUAACACAUGCAAGUCGAACGGUAACAGGCCCUUCGGGGUGCUGACGAGUGGCGGACGGGUGAGUAACGCGUGGGAAUCUGCCCAAUAGUGGGGGACAACCCGGGGAAACUCGGGCUAAUACCGCAUACGCCCUGAGGGGGAAAGCGGGGGACCGCAAGGCCUCGCGCUAUUGGAUGAGCCCGCGUCCGAUUAGCUAGUUGGUGGGGUAAGGGCCUACCAAGGCGACGAUCGGUAGCUGGUCUGAGAGGAUGACCAGCCACACUGGGACUGAGACACGGCCCAGACUCCUACGGGAGGCAGCAGUGGGGAAUAUUGCACAAUGGGCGAAAGCCUGAUGCAGCAAUGCCGUGUGGGUGAAGAAGGCCUGCGGGUUGUAAAGCCCUUUCAGUGGGGAAGAAAAGCCUGGUGUUAAUACCACUGGGUCUUGACGUUACCCACAGAAGAAGCACCGGCUAACUCCGUGCCAGCAGCCGCGGUAAUACGGAGGGUGCGAGCGUUAAUCGGAAUUACUGGGCGUAAAGCGCGCGUAGGUGGUUUAGUAAGUCAGGUGUGAAAGCCCUGGGCUCAACCUGGGAAUUGCAUUUGAUACUGCUGGACUCGAGUAUGGUAGAGGGGGGGGUGGAAUUCCCGGUGUAGCGGUGAAAUGUGUUGAUAUCACGCGGAACGCCGGUGACGAAGGUUGAUCUCUGGUCUCAUAUUGACGCUCAUGUUCGAAAGCUAGGGGAGCGA
rnacentral:rRNA from 1 species